GAUGAACGCUGGCGGCGUGCCUAAUACAUGCAAGUCAAACGCUUUGUGGUUCAACUGAUAUGAAGAGCUUGCUCAGAUAUGACGAUGGACAUUGCAAAGAGUGGCGAACGGGUGAGUAACACGUGGGAAACCUACCUCUUAGCAGGGGAUAACAUUUGGAAACAGAUGCUAAUACCGUAUAACAAUGACAACCGCAUGGUUGUUAUUUAAAAGAUGGUUCUGCUAUCACUAAGAGAUGGUCCCGCGGUGCAUUAGCUAGUUGGUAAGGUAAUGGCUUACCAAGGCGAUGAUGCAUAGCCGAGUUGAGAGACUGAUCGGCCACAAUGGGACUGAGACACGGCCCAUACUCCUACGGGAGGCAGCAGUAGGGAAUCUUCCACAAUGGGCGAAAGCCUGAUGGAGCAACGCCGCGUGUGUGAUGAAGGGUUUCGGCUCGUAAAACACUGUUGUAAGAGAAGAAUGACAUUGAGAGUAACUGUUCAAUGUGUGACGGUAUCUUACCAGAAAGGAACGGCUAAAUACGUGCCAGCAGCCGCGGUAAUACGUAUGUUCCAAGCGUUAUCCGGAUUUAUUGGGCGUAAAGCGAGCGCAGACGGUUAUUUAAGUCUGAAGUGAAAGCCCUCAGCUCAACUGAGGAAUUGCUUUGGAAACUGGAUGACUUGAGUGCAGUAGAGGAAAGUGGAACUCCAUGUGUAGCGGUGAAAUGCGUAGAUAUAUGGAAGAACACCAGUGGCGAAGGCGGCUUUCUGGACUGUAACUGACGUUGAGGCUCGAAAGUGUGGGUAGCAAACAGGAUUAGAUACCCUGGUAGUCCACACCGUAAACGAUGAGUGCUAGGUGUUUGAGGGUUUCCGCCCUUAAGUGCCGCAGCUAACGCAUUAAGCACUCCGCCUGGGGAGUACGACCGCAAGGUUGAAACUCAAAGGAAUUGACGGGGACCCGCACAAGCGGUGGAGCAUGUGGUUUAAUUCGAAGCAACGCGAAGAACCUUACCAGGUCUUGACAUCCCUUGACAACUCCAGAGAUGGAGCGUUCCCUUCGGGGACAAGGUGACAGGUGGUGCAUGGUUGUCGUCAGCUCGUGUCGUGAGAUGUUGGGUUAAGUCCCGCAACGAGCGCAACCCUUAUUACUAGUUGCCAGCAUUCAGUUGGGCACUCUAGUGAGACUGCCGGUGACAAACCGGAGGAAGGUGGGGAUGACGUCAAAUCAUCAUGCCCCUUAUGACCUGGGCUACACACGUGCUACAAUGGCGUAUACAACGAGUUGCCAACCCGCGAGGGUGAGCUAAUCUCUUAAAGUACGUCUCUGUUCGGAUCGUAGGCUGCAACUCGCCUACAUGAAGUCGGAAUCGCUAGUAAUCGCGGAUCAGCACGCCGCGGUGAAUACGUUCCCGGGUCUUGUACACACCGCCCGUCACACCAUGAGAGUUUGUAACACCCAAAGCCGGUGGGGUAACCUUCGGGAGCCAGCCGUCUAAGGUGGGACAGAUGAUUAGGGUG
rnacentral:rRNA from 1 species